GCAUUGGUGGUUCAGUGGUAGGAUGCUCGCCUUCCAUGUGAAAGAGCUGGGUUCGAUUCCCAGCCAGUGCA
rfam:Loxodonta africana unplaced genomic scaffold scaffold_8, whole genome shotgun sequence.